GAUGUACUCCCUCCGUCCGUAAAUACUUGUCAUCAAAAUGAAUAAAAGGAGAUGUAUCUAGAUGUAUUUUAGUUCUAGAUACAUCUCUUUUUGUCCAUUUUGAUGACAAGUAUUUUCGGACGGAGGGAGUAGCUA
rnacentral:pre_miRNA from 1 species